rnacentral:rRNA from 1 species
CUGCUCAGAUUGAACGCUGGCGGCGUGCUUAACACAUGCAAGUCGUACGCGAAAGGGACUUCGGUCCCGAGUAAAGUGGCGCACGGGUGAGUAACACGUGGAUGAUCUGCCUCUAUGAUGGGGAUAACAGUUGGAAACGACUGCUAAUACCGAAUACGCUCAUGAUGAACGUUGUGAGGAAAGGUGGCCUCUGCUUGCAAGCUAUCGCAUAGAGAUGAGUCCGCGUCCCAUUAGCUCGUUGGUGGGGUAACGGCCUACCAAGGCAACGAUGGGUAGCCGAUCUGAGAGGAUGAUCGGCCACACUGGAACUGAAACACGGUCCAGACUCCUACGGGAGGCAGCAGUGGGGAAUAUUGCGCAAUGGGCGAAAGCCUGACGCAGCGACGCCGCGUGAGGGAUGAAGGUCUUCGGAUCGUAAACCUCUGUCAGAAGGGAAGAAACUGGGGUGUUCUAAUCAGCAUCCCACUGACGGUACCUUCAAAGGAAGCACCGGCUAACUCCGUGCCAGCAGCCGCGGUAAUACGGAGGGUGCAAGCGUUAAUCGGAAUCACUGGGCGUAAAGCGCACGUAGGCUGUUAUGUAAGUCAGGGGUGAAAGCCCACGGCUCAACCGUGGAACUGCCCUUGAUACUGCACGACUCGAAUCCGGGAGAGGGUGGCGGAAUUCCAGGUGUAGGAGUGAAAUCCGUAGAUAUCUGGAGGAACAUCAGUGGCGAAGGCGGCCACCUGGACCGGUAUGACGC